CCUACGGGAGGCAGCAGUGAGGAAUAUUGGUCAAUGGGCGUAAGCCUGAACCAGCCAAGUCGCGUGCGGGAUGACGGUUCUAUGGAUCGUAAACCUCUUUUGUAAAGGAAUAAAGCGUAGGACGUGUAUUAUGCUGUAAGUACCUUAUGAAUAAGGAUCGGCUAACUCCGUGCCAGCAGCCGCGGUAAUACGGAGGAUCCAAGCGUUAUCCGGAUUUAUUGGGUUUAAAGGGUGCGUAGGCGGCCUGUUAAGUCAGCGGUGAAAGUUUGUAGCUUAACCAGGGAAUUGCCGUUGAUACUGUUGAGCUAGAGUAUGUAUGAGGUAGGCGGAAUGUGUGGUGUAGCGGUGAAAUGCUUAGAGAUCAUGCAGAACCCCGAUUGCGAAGGCAGCCUGCCAAGCCAUGACUGACGCUGAUGCACGAAAGCGUGGGGAGCAAACAGGAUUAGAUACCCGUGUAGUC
rnacentral:rRNA from 1 species